rnacentral:rRNA from 1 species
GACGAACGCUGGCGGCGUGCUUAACACAUGCAAGUCGAACGCUGAAGCUCAGCUUUUGUUGGGUGGAUGAGUGGCGAACGGGUGAGUAACACGUGAGUAACCUGCCUCCUUCUUUGGGAUAACGCCCGGAAACGGGUGCUAAUACUGGAUAUUCACUGGUCUUCGCAUGGGGGUUGGUGGAAAGGGUUUUUCUGGUGGGGGAUGGGCUCGCGGCCUAUCAGCUUGUUGGUGGGGUGAUGGCCUACCAAGGCUUUGACGGGUAGCCGGCCUGGGAGGGUGACCGGUCACAUUGGGACUGAGAUACGGCCCAGACUCCUACGGGAGGCAGCAGUGGGGAAUAUUGCACAAUGGGCGCAAGCCUGAUGCAGCGACGCAGCGUGAGGGAUGGAGGCCUUCGGGUUGUGAACCUCUUUCGCUCAUGGUCAAGCCGCAACAAUGGUUGUGGUGAGGGUAGUGGGUAAAGAAGCGCCGGCUAACUACGUG